rnacentral:tRNA from 1 species
GGGGUUGUGGCUCAGUGGUAGACAACUUGCCUAGCAAGUGUGAGGCCCUGAGUUCGAUUCUCAGCACCUCA